rnacentral:rRNA from 1 species
CCUACGGGAGGCAGCAGUGGGGAAUAUUGCACAAUGGGGGAAACCCUGAUGCAGCAACGCCGCGUGAGUGAAGAAGUAUUUCGGUAUGUAAAGCUCUAUCAGCAGGGAAGAAGAAAGACGGUACCUGACUAAGAAGCCCCGGCUAACUACGUGCCAGAGGCCGCGGUAAUACGUAGGGGGCAAGCGUUAUCCGAAUUUACUGGGUGUAAAGGGAGUGCAGACGGCUGUGCAAGUCUGAAGUGAAAGCCCGUGGCUCAACCGCGGAACUGCUUUGGAAACUGUAUAGCUUGAGUACUGGAGAGGCAGGCGGAAUUCCUAGUGUAGCGGUGGAAUGCUUAGAUAUCAGGCAGAACCCC